rnacentral:rRNA from 1 species
CCUACGGGAGGCUGCAGUGAGGAAUAUUGCACAAUGGGCGCGACCCUGAUGCAGCUACGCAGCGUGAAUGAUGACGGCUUUCGGUAUGUAAAACUCUAUCAGCAAAGGAGAAAAUGACGGUACCUGAUUCAUAAUCCCCGGCUAACUACGUGCCAGCAGCCGCGGUACUACGUCGGAGGCCAGCGUUAUCCGGAUUUACUGGGUGUAAAGGGAGCGUAGACGGCCGCACAAGUCUGGAGUGAAAUGCCGGGGCUUAACCCCGGAACUGCAGUGGAAACUGUGAAGCUUGAGUGCAGUUGAGGUAAGUGGAAUUCGUAGUGUAGCGGUGAAAUGCGUAGAUAUCAGGAGGAACACCAGUGGCGAAGGCGGCUUACUGUACUGCAACUGACGUUGAGGCUCGAAAGUGUGGGGAGCAAACAGGAUUAGAUACCCUAGUAGUC